ensembl:lncRNA
GCCCAGGAGAGCGGGGCUGGGUUCCGGGAGCUCUCCCAUAAGUUGGGGGUUGCUCCCCGGGUGGCUCUGGCAGUGAAGAAUCUGCCUGCAAUGCGGGAGACCUGGGUCCAGAAGAUCCCCUGGAGAAGGGAAUAGCUACCCACUCCCGUAUUCUUGCCUGGAGAAUUUCCUGGACGGAGGAGCCUGGAGGGCUGCAGUCCACAGCAUCUCACCCUCAGCCCAAGGAUGUUGUAGCCCAACCAUCAGCAUUUCGUUCCUUGCGGAUGAGUCUUCUUCUGGCCUCUGGGAAUCUGUUUGAAGACACAAAUGCCCCUGGGAGGCUGCUGAUUUCCACUUGUCCAUCAGUCCAUCGACCUGUCCAUCCAUCACCCGCUGAAGGGAAGCAGAAAUGAAUACGAAGUGGAACCCACCUGUCCUCCAGAAACCCAGCAGCCUCUAGCCAGAGCAGCCUUAGGUCCUGCUGUCUCCACCCGACAGGGUUUGCAUCCCUUGUCCACCAAGAGCUCCGGGCUGGGCUGGAUCAGGUCUUCCUCCUGACCUCUCUCUCUGCUCCCCGGGCUGGCACAUCC